UUAAAAAUCAGGAAAUGCUGGGCGGGCUUUUCCUCACACCUGACCUACACGAAGACUGAAAACGAAAAACAACUAAAUCAGAGGGCUCUUCGGGCUUUAUCCGAGCGUCCUUCUGGCUGGGACGGCUGCAGCAGAUGUUGGAGCCUGGGACAAAAUGGAUUUCCCCCCGCCGAGAGCAGCUUUUCUUGCCCUCCUUAAUGGAGGCUCCUUGAAAUGCUAAUGCCCCACCAUUAGUAUAGUGGUGGUCUAGCAUAGUGAUGGUGGGAAAAAAGGGAGAGACCGCGAUCCUGACUGAAAAACCUUUGUGACUGGACAACCCCUGGAAAAAUCAACUGUGCCGAUCCAGACGGACAAACGUCCAGUGGAGGUGCGAGAGAGAGAAAGCAAGAAAGGGGGGAUAUCCAUCUCACCACACACACAGCUGGGUCGUGUGAUGGCAUCUCAUCCACUCCCUCCCCCAAACCUCAUCCAUCCCUUCCUCAAAGUUCAGCUCCAAAGAGGGAUAAUGAUAAUCGUGCAUAUAAAGAGAGCGAUAAAAGAACCAAUUUCUGCUUUGCACCAAGCGUUUAAAGGAUCAGGGAACGAUUUUGAAAUUAGGAGGCUUAACUUGUUGAGAACAUUUCACAAUGAGCUGGUGCUUACUGUUAUCGGAGGAAUCAAACGGCGAAAGGCAAAGCUGCUUUGCUGAGUGGCGUGUACCACGUUUUUUUUCACCCCUACGAGCACGGACGAGGAUGAACGCAGCAGUCUGGGAAAUGCAUUUUUGUAUUUGUGCAAAGAGGCAGCUCUGUAAAAGAUAAAAUCAGCUUGCAGGUGCGAAUGAGGCAAAACCUGACAUGGCCUCUUUGGUCAGAAUAUCAAAAUAUGAGGCUGGCUUCAUAUUUUUACUGAAAAGUGUGACUUGAAACUAUGCAGCGACUUCUGUGGAGUAUCUAAAGCUAGAUGAGGAUUUUUGCUCUCCUGCUAUUUCUUGCUUAACCCCCCCACCCCUCCUUCCCUCACACACACACACACUUGCAGAUUUAUCGCUCUGGACACUCUUGUCCCUGUCAGCAGCUGGCGGGCUGAGUCUUGUUUGAGCUUGUGUGUGUAUGAAUGCAUGUGCACAAAUGUGUGUGUGCACAUAGCCCAAGUAAAGCCUGCUGCUCUGCUCUGCUGUGCUGGCCAGGCCAUGUGGCCACUUUAAAGCUCCUUUCUGAGAGGCCUGUGAAGUUGUUAAGGAGCUCCACUACACUGGCAGUUGGCUCUGGGAAUCCCUCUGCCAGCUGUAGCCUGCACACACACACACACACCCCUCCCUGCUUCACUUCCCUCUCUCUGUCUCUCAUGUUCCCCCUCUCAUGCUUACACUUGCUCCGUUUUUCUGUGUUCGCCGCCGUCGCUGUCCUCUCUUUCUGUCUGUAUUUGUUUGUCGCCUACUCUCUGUUUUUCGUGCUCCCUUUCUCCCUCCCUCUCUUUCGCUCUCUCUGUUUCCCUCGCUCUGUCUGUUCCUCGUUCUGACCGCGGUAUCUGCAUAAUCUAUGUAGUGAAACAUCAUUGCGGACCUUCUGUCUCUUCUGGCACCGGUCCGGCUGCACAUGUUUUCUCCUGUAUACCUGCUCAGAUCGCUGGAAAUGCACUUUGGCAACCGACACGGAGCCACGUGUGGCAAUGAUGGCUGUUUAGGAAAAAAAAAGAUGGUUUUGAAAGUGGGUUUGGAAAAAAAAAAAAAAGGGCCACAGCGAAUAGUUUGUAUCACUAAUUCUGCAAAAAAUUAAAGUUUAAUAUUUCUUCAUCUUG